UCGAUGUCGGGGGCGGGUGCCGCGGUAAGGCGAAGCAGUGUAACGUUUUGCGGAUUGACUGUGCUUAAAGGGUGCGGAGGCGGUGCAGGAAGUCGGUUGUGAAAUCCCUCAGCGCAACUGAGGAAUUGCGCCCGAAACUGCUGGGCUCGAGGAAGACAGAGGUACGCGGAACUUAGUGUGGAGCGGUGAAAUGCGUUGAUAUCCUAAGGAACACCGGUGGCGAAAGCGGCGUACUGGGUCUUAUCUGACGCUGAGGCACGAAAGCUAGGGUAGCGAACGGGAUUAGAUUCCCCGGUAGUC
rnacentral:rRNA from 1 species